AGGAAGAAGAUGACCCAUUUCAUUUUGAAUUUUUUUUUUUGCCCUCUAAAUACAAAACGACGUCGUUUCACUUUUAGUGGAACGACGUCGUUUUUGUAAGUGCCCGGUGCAACCCAAUGAGUACAAACAAAUUCACAAUGAUGCACAAAGAUAUAUCAAAUUUAAGCACAAUAAAGAAAACUUAAUUAAAGAGAAAUGAUAAGAAAUGCAAACCAAAUAUCAAACCAAUAGCCUCUUCAAUUGAUGGCGAUGCUAACCAAGAUGUACAAGUGAAGGCUCACUCCUUCCUCACCCCAAACACACUUUGGUUGAGCCAAGGAGUUUUACAACAAUUCUAGUUAACCCUCAACAACCUACACUUGAAAGAUCACUUACCCAAUUAAGAACUAUUUUAUACAAAUGAGGCAACCUUCACCAAGGUUUUACCACUUCAAGUGAUAGGUUCACCUUCACCAAGGUUUUACUCCUCCUAGAGAAUAACCUUCACUUGAGCAACCUCACAACCCAACUUCCCCAACCCCUUAUACAACCAACAAAGAAUCUUUCUACUCAAAAAUCUCACUUGUAAGCUUGUAUUUUGUGUUGGCAAAAGUCUUGUGUCUUCUUGUGCUUUGGGGUGUUUAUAGAAGGUGAGAAAUGGCUCCAAAAGGCUCUCCAACGGUCAAAUAUUAAAUGCUGUCAAAACUAGCCGUUGGCCUGUCGGACGUCCGAACCACCUGUCGGACGUCCGAACCCUGCGUCCAAACCACCUGUCGGACGUCCGAACCCUGCGUCCGAACGUCGUCAGAGAGUCAUCAAAUCUUUGCGAAAUUUCUCGGACGUCCGAUGCGAUCGAUGUGCGUCCGAUGCGUGCGUCCGAUCCUUCCGGACGUCCGAUGCUUCCUCACGAGCGUCCGACAGAGUUUCCUUCUUGAUGUUCUUCAUCCUUUCGGACGUCCGAUAGCUUCCUUUCGGACGUCCCACAUGAGUGCCCUGUUUUUGCUUCUUCUUUUGUGCCACAAGAAUCUGUUCUAACAAAUUGCUCACAUAAAAACAUUAGCCCAAAUCUACAUUUUGGUUUGUUAAUCAUCAAAACCAAGGAUUGAUCGACCAAGGUCAACAGUUUUGUAUAAUGAGGGGAAAAAAAAAUACAUCAGAUGAAGCCCUAAGGCUUCAUCUGAUGCAAAAGCACGCCGCCAGUGCCAAAGGGCAAACAAGACUCCAACUCCAAGAAGAAGACGCCAGGCUCCAAGAACUCCAAGAAGCUUCAGUUGAGAUUCUACCAUCCUGCUUCAAGCCUUCAAUUCAAGGCUCCAAGACUCCAACUCUCCACCAUUCCAUUCACAUAAAUCUUUUAG
rnacentral:lncRNA from 1 species